GACAAACGCUGGCGGCGUGCCUAAUACAUGCAAGUUGAGCGAUGAAGAUUGGUGCUUGCACCCAUUUGAAGAGCAGCGAACGGGUGAGUAACGCGUGGGGCGUCUGCCUUUGAGCGGGGGACAACAUUUGGAAACGAAUGCUAAUACCACAUAACAACUUUAAACAUAAGUUUUAAGUUUGAAAGAUGCCAUUGCAUCACUCAAAGAUGAUCCCGCGUUGUAUUAGCUAGUUGGUGAGGUAAAGGCUCACCAAGGCGAUGAUACAUAGCCGACCUGAAAGGGUGGUCGGCCACCACGGGACUGAGACACGGCCCAAAACUCUUCGGGAGGGAGCAGGAGGGGAACAUCGGAAAUUGGGGGAAGUCUUACCGAGCAACGACGCGGGAGGGGAGAAGGUCUUCGGAGUGGAAAACUCUGUUUGUAGAGAAGAAAGAGGGGGAGGGUGGAACGCCCAUGAAGUGACGGUAACUAAACAGAAAGGGACGGCUAACUACGUG
rnacentral:rRNA from 1 species